rnacentral:tmRNA from 1 species
GGGGAUGUCUAGGUUUCGACGGGAUUACUAGGUCUUUUGUGGCAAGUCGGAGGUACACGUUACGUACAAACAGAAAAAUAACUGGAAAAAAUUUAAAAAAUGUAUUAGCUAACAUGUUCUCUACAAAGAGUGCUGUAGCUUUCGCCUAAUUUAAGGAAAGGCAUACGCUUCUAUUUAUUCUUUGCCUACGAGAAUAUCUAGGGGUUCAUCAAAGUAGGAUAUAGCAAUUUUUCGUCUAAGGAAAUUGUGGAACUUUAUUAGACUUACGAAAAGAUAAGUUGUUGAUUCCUCGCAUCUUUUCGGACAAUGAACGAAUCAACUAAACUUGUAGAAGCAGAAGGGAUGGUAGUUUCGGACAUCGGUUCGAGUCCGAUCAUCUCCACCA